UACGGGGGGAGCAAGCGUUGUUCGGAUUUACUGGGCGUAAAGGGCGCGUAGGCGGUCAGCACAAGUCAGUUGUGAAAUCUCCGGGCUUAACUCGGAAAGGUCAACUGAUACUGUGCGACUAGAGUGCGGAAGGGGCAACUGGAAUUCUCGGUGUAGCGGUGAAAGUGCGUAGAUAUCGAGAGGAACACCUGCGGCGAAGGCGGGUUGCUGGGCCGACACUGACGCUGAUGCGCGAAAGCCAGGGGAGCGAACGGG
rnacentral:rRNA from 1 species